rnacentral:piRNA from 1 species
UCAUGUUUCGAAUUAUUCACC